UCUUAGACGUAAGCAAAUCAAAUCGGUUAGCUUCCUCUCUCGAUUAUAAUUAGAUUUUAUUCGACAUAGAACCCAAGAUUUUGAUAUAGAACUGAGAAACUCAUCUCCUAAGAUUCAUUUUUUUUUUUUUCUAAUAAUCUAGGAAAAAUGGAAUACAAUAGAAUCAACAUAUUGUCAGAUUUUUUUUAUAGCUUUGAUACUCUCGUACCUUCUUGACUAGCGAUUUGGCUAAAAUAAGUGUUUUAUCGAAGAGAUGGCGAUUUCUCUGGCUCGACAUUUCAAGAGUGGGCGUCGAU
rnacentral:lncRNA from 1 species